AACUUAUUCUUUUUCUCUUAUUAUCUCUGUUGUUCUAGAUAAAACAUUUGCUCGACAACUUUUAAUGUUUCACAAAAAUGCAAUUCACAAACAAAGUACAAACGCUCUAAAUUACAUUUGUGUGAUGGUAAUGACAAUAACAAACAGUUCAUUUUGUUAGUUUCAAAGACUGAUUAUGAACGUGCCACAAAUAAUGUGUUGUAUGCAGCAGAGCUUUUAGAAAAUCAUAAAAUAAAAAACAAGGAGAAACAAAGGCAUUAUUUGUCUUCAACCAGCUCACCGUCCAAUUCGAAAGCUAUAAUCGACAAACAAAGUAGUAACAUUCUUUCAACAUCAGAACAUGGAUCACUUCGUGAAGCAGAACAGUUAUUUCAAUUAAAACUUAUUGAUGGCAACGAUGACAAGCAGUAUAAUUUGUUAGUUACGAAGACUGAAUAUGAACGUGCGGGUAGUAAUAUGUUGUAUGCAGCACAGCUGUUAGAAAAUUAUAAAACCAAAAAAAGGGAGGCAUACUUCAACUUCAACCAAUUUGACAGCUCAAUCCACGCAUUCUGCACAUGCUUCAACUUCAAGCAAUAAUAUAGUUGAACCAGUCGAUAGUAACGAUUGUGACAACGAAGAAAAUGUAGAAGAUACCGAAAACUUGGACUUGAGCAUGUGCAACAAAGAUUCUCGUUGUACGUGGGAUAAAAAUCAAACAAAGCUUCUUUUAUCUUUAUACAAAGAAUAUGAAUCAAAAUUACGUGAAGGAAAGAUAACGCAUAGGAAAUUUUGGAUAAUAAUCUCUAAUCAGUUGAAGUUGAAAGGUUAUACCUUUACUUCUAAUCAAUGUAAGUUCAAAUUAGACAGCUUGAAAAGAAAAUACAAGGUCAUUGUGGAUCACAAUUCACAAAGUGGUAAUGAUAGGAAGACGUGUGAUGAA